rnacentral:rRNA from 1 species
UGGGGAAUUUUGGACAAUGGGCGAAAGCCUGAUCCAGCAAUGCCGCGUGUGUGAAGAAGGCCUUCGGGUUGUAAAGCACUUUUGUCCGGAAAGAAAUCCUUGGCUCUAAUACAGUCGGGGGAUGACGGUACCGGAAGAAUAAGCACCGGCUAACUACGUGCCAGCAGCCGCGGUAAUACGUAGGGUGCAAGCGUUAAUCGGAAUUACUGGGCGUAAAGCGUGCGCAGGCGGUUUGCUAAGACCGAUGUGAAAUCCCCGGGCUCAACCUGGGAACUGCAUUGGUGACUGGCAGGCUAGAGUAUGGCAGAGGGGGGUAGAAUUCCACGUGUAGCAGUGAAAAUGCGUAGAGAUGUGGAGGAAUACCGAUGGCGAAGGCAGCCCCCUGGGCCAAUACUGACGCUCAUGCACGAAAGCGUGGGGGAGCAAACAGGAUUAGAUACCCUGGUAGUCCACGCCCUAAACGAUGUCAACUAGUUGUUGGGGAUUCAUUUCCUUAGUAACGUAGCUAACGCGUGAAGUUGACCGCCUGGGGAGUACGGUCGCAAGAUUAAAACUCAAAUGAAUUG